CAGUUACUAUAAUACUAGAACAGAAACAGCAUUGUGUGUUUGUGUGUGCAGGUGAUUCUUCUUGUAGCGUUCGCUUGCGUUCGUUCCACGUGGUACACCAGUUUCUACGCUUACGGUUUUUUUGAAGGGGUCACGCUCGGUUACUCCAUCACGGUCGCCGUUUUUCUAUUCCUGACUGUAUUUGGGGUUCCGAAAAGGGCAUCAUUUGUAAACUGGACGAUAGCCGAGUUUGUGCUUGAUACACUGGGAUUCAUCUUCAUCUCCACUGGUUCCAUUGUAGCUGCUGUGAAGUCUUAUGACACCCCCAUUCUGGUUGCCGCCUCAGUGUGUGGUCUUCUGGCCUCAUAUCUCUCAGUUGUAAGUGUGAUACUUUCAUUUGUUGCCGCUCGCCGCUCACAACCUGAGGAUCCACCAAUAUAAAAACAUUGUCUUGAUAUUUAUAGUCUAACUGCCCUCAACACAGGAGAGCAUGGAUGGGGAAUUGAUAAAGGGUAUGGUUGUUUUAGUAAAUUUACAUAGAAUAGAAUAUCACUUAUUGCACACAUGACUUAUUGCAGCCAGAUGGUUUUAAUACUAUAAUUACUAUAUAAUAUUUAAUAUUAUAAUACCCUGCCAAUAAUUUACUGGUGCAUACAUUCUAACAAAUGGUCUUUAUUUUCAAUUUACUCUUAUAAUAGUGUCAACAUUGUUUUGUUAAUCAUUUGUUUACAAAAUGUAUUAUUACGACAAAUA
rnacentral:lncRNA from 1 species